rnacentral:lncRNA from 1 species
AGAGACUCACAUUGACAAUCUAAGGCUUGUAAAGAAGCACCAUAACAUUACAGAAACAGACAUGAGAUAUGACGCUGUAGUGAAGAACCUCCAUAUUCCAUCAAUCCAGAUUGGAAGAAGACAAAGAACACAAGACCGAAACUGAAUCCUUGGGUAUGUUCUGGAAUAAACCUGGAUUCCUAGGGAGAAAAGAGAUCCCUGAAAUGAAAAUUGCCAUAAGGAGCCCUGAAAAAAAUUGGAUAAUGCCUACCUACAUUGGUGAGAGUGAUCUUUACUCAGUCUACUGAAUCAAAUACCAAUCUCUUCUGGAAAUACUAUCAGAGACACACCAAGAAACAACAUUUUACCAGCGAUCGGAGCAUCCCUUAGCCCAGUCAAAUUGACCCAUUAAAUAAGCCCUCACACUCUGCUAUAAGGCAUCUGCACUACACAUAAAUUGAUAUUCUGUUAUAUGAAGGUAGGCUUAUAUUUGUUAAAAAUGUACAAAAUGUACAUUAUAGAUUUGAUGGCAAAUAUCAAAAGAUUUAAUAAGGAAACAAAACUGAUUAAAGAAACAACAUAAAAUCAUAUGAAAUGGUC